rnacentral:rRNA from 1 species
CGAAGGCCUUCGGGUUGUAAACUCCUGUCACGAGUUAAGAAGGUGUCACGACGAACAGUGGUGACAUUUGACGUAAGCUCGAGAGGAAGCACUGGCUAACUCUGUGCCAGCAGCCGCGGUAAUACAGAGAGUGCAAACGUUGUUCGGAAUUACUGGGCUUAAAGCGCACGUAGGCGGUGUCGUAAGUGUCUGGUGAAAUCCCACGGCUCACCCGUGGAACUGCCAGGCAUACUGCGGUACUCGAGUGUGGUAGGGGAGAGCGGAACUCCUGGUGGAGCGGUGAAAUGCGUAGAUAUCAGGAGGAACACCGGUGGCGAAGGCGGCUCUCUGGUCCACUACUGACGCUGAGGUGCGAAAGCUAGGGGAGCAAACGGGAUUAGAUACCCCGGUAGUCCUAGCUGUAAACGAUGGGCACUAGCUUGGGGUCUCCCUGUGUGAUCCCAGGUGAAGCAAAAGUGAUAAGUGCCCCGCCUGGGGAGUAUGGUCGCAAGGCUG